rnacentral:rRNA from 1 species
UACAGAGGGGGGCAAGCGUUGUUCGGAAUUACUGGGCGUAAAGCGCGUGUAGGCGGGUUUCCAAGUCAGAUGUGAAAUCCCCGGGCUCAACCCCGGGAACUGCAUUUGAAACUGGGAGUCUUGAGUAUCGGAGAGGAAAGCGGAAUUCCUGGUGUAGAGGUGAAAAUUCGUAGAUAUCAGGAGGAACACCGGUGGCGAAGGCGGCUUUCUGGACGAUAACUGACGCUGAGACGCGAAAGCGUGGGGAGCAAACAGG